rnacentral:rRNA from 1 species
GUCCUACGGGGGGCAGCAGUGAGGAAUAUUGGUCAAUGGGCGGGAGCCUGAACCAGCCAAGUCGCGUGAGGGAAGACGGUCCUAUGGAUUGUAAACCUCUUUAGGCGGGGAGCAAUGCCGGGCACGUGUGCCCGGAGGGAGAGUACCCGCAGAAUAAGCAUCGGCUAACUCCGUGCCAGCAGCCGCGGUAAUACGGAGGAUGCGAGCGUUAUCCGGAUUUAUUGGGUUUAAAGGGUGCGUAGGCGGAUUUUUAAGUCAGCGGUAAAAUGUCCGGGCUCAACCCGAGCCGGCCGUUGAAACUGGGG